GCUGUGUUCGAAAGUUUCUGUUAAAUAUUUCAUAUUCCAAUGGAAAACUUGAGAAAAUCUAAUGGUGCUUCUAUACAUUUUCAUCCCUGAGUGUGUUUUAGAACUGAAGCCAACAGAAUGCUUGUUGUUUCUGGUACAUGUCUUGUAAUCACCUGUGACAGCUGUUAAACCAGAAAACUAUUAGCAACCUACUACGUUGCAUUCAUCAAACUAUACCAGUGCUCAUUGAGAGGUUUAGCUCAUGAAACUUCAUUUGUAAAGAAUACUUCCCGUUGAGGAAUGUCACCAAAGAUGCAAAUUCUAUGGGUAGAAAUACCAUAACAUCGUUCUUCUACUCUUUAACUACCCAUGGUCUCCUGUCAAUCGUGAUCUGAAUGGUGCACCAUAUUCACCUACGUUGCAGUGUCAACUGUAAUGACAGUCAUUUUGGCGGUUGUAAUCUCUACUUAGCCUACCAACGGAAACAGACAUAAUUGCCAACUCUUAGCCGUCUGCUGCCUAUUUGCUGGCCCUACAGUCUUCCUAGCCAUCGGACAGCAGAA